rnacentral:lncRNA from 1 species
GAGUUUGGAGGGUGCCGGUCAACGAAGCCACGCGAGGUAUUUGAAAGGCAAUCAGCCCGACCGUCCCCCUAGAUUCAUCGUUUGCGAGGUGGCUGUGACCGCUGGCGACAAGUGCUUUCUCAGCCGCAACCCAGCUGAAAGAGUUAAGGGUCCGGGAGGAGGAGUGCGCCCGGUAGGCGGGAGAAGAGGGGGUGGGGUGGGGUGUGUGUGUGUGUGGGGGGGGGACUCGGCCAAGCGGAAACGCCGCACAGAGGAACCUCAGCGAACCAAGAAAAAAGAGAAAGUGGCAACGAAAACAAGGACAAAUUAAAUCCUCCUUGGGGAUUUCCAAUGAACUAACCCAAUUCGGACAUUCAAUAAAUACAGGACUCUUAAUGAGUGUGCGUGUGCUUGCACCCCGCACCCUCAGCUGCAGGGCACCGGCCCGCAGUCUGCAGUUCCCAGCCCAAGCAGCAGCCGAGAACCCGGCGGCCGGUGUGCUCCGAACGUAAAGAACUGGCCUGCCUUCUCCCCGAUGCAUAAUUUCUCUAGAGAGCUCACUUCUGUGAACUCAGUUACAGAGGGAGCUCUCCAGCUCAGCAGCAGCCUCGCAGCCUCUGCGUGAUCUCGAGAUUAACCGUAGACGCGAGGCAUUUAUGUAGGAUCGGGUCCAGCUCCUGCUUGCUGGGGUGAAAAGAUACCAUCGUAGAAACAGAUCUAAAAGGCAGUAGUAACCAAAGCCCCAAAACAGAACGGAUUCCCCCCUCCAUUCCAAAAGGUUCCUUUUUAUAUUUAUAUAUGCGUAUAUGUAUAUAUAAAAGAUGGAACACAGAUUUCAUUGAAUAAAUCUGAGAUCUCCAGGUGCAGACGUUUGAAUAGUCGGUGCCAGCACCCCGUGUUUUCCUUUCCUGCCGAUUUUGCUUGGAUCCGGCUCAAAAACCGAAAGAGUCUCGUGGUUUUGUUUACACUGAAUGGGGAGGAUAGGAACAGAGCCAUGGGGCCGCCUUUCAUUAAUAUACAGUGAGGAUUUUGUCUAAAUUACUGCUAUGAGUUUCACAGUACACGCUUUCAAAAGCCGUCUCAGGUGGCCUGAUGAAACGGGAUAGCGCCUCAGCAAACAGAUCCACUUUCUCUCUUUGCAAGGAGGGUGUGCACGUUCGGGAAGCCCCCCAAACGCUGUGCUCCUCAAUAACAGAAACGCACUUCUGUUCCCAGGUCUGUCCCCUUCUCUUCCCCCACCCCCCACGUACUUAGUUCUCAAAUCGCUCCCCAGCUCCCCCCCCCCAACUCCCGCCCCACCCAAUCCUCCCCCUCCCUCUGCGGAGUGUGAUUGUUUUGUCUGGAAAAAAAAAUCCAAAGUAUAUAACAAGGGGAGAACAGUUAGUGCUGAUUUUCAUUUGCAUACAUUUUCAUAUAUUUUGGUGAAAAUAAUAGAGGAGAGAGAACCGGGCUUAGAGGAGUCAGUGUAAAGAGAAGGCUAAGGAUAACUCGACUCUGGAGAGUAGAGAAUAUGCCUUCUCUUCUGCCCCUCCAGGAACCUUACUUUUUUUUUUUUUUAAAC